UCCAGACUCCUACGGGAGGCAGCAGUGGGGGAUAUUGCACAAUGGGGGGAACCCUGAUGCAGCGACGCCGCGUGGGUGAAGGAGCGUUUCGGCGCGUAAAGCCCUAUCGGCAGGGAAGAAGGAGGACGGUACCUGACUAAGAAGCCCCGGCUAACUACGUGCCAGCAGCCGCGGUAAUACGUAGGGGGCAAGCGUUAUCCGGAUUUACUGGGUGUAAAGGGGGCGCAGACGGCAGCGCAAGCCAGGAGUGAAAGCCCGGGGCCCAACCCCGGGACUGCUCUUGGAACUGCGCGGCUGGAGUGCAGGAGGGGCAGGCGGAAUUCCUGGUGUAGCGGUGAAAUGCGUAGAUAUCAGGAGGAACGCCGGCGGCGAAGGCGGCCUGCUGGACCGUGACUGACGUUGAGGCUCGAGAGCGUGGGGAGCAAACAGGAUUAGAUACCCCGGUAGG
rnacentral:rRNA from 1 species